GCGCCCGGCUCUGACGCGAUUCUAACGCGACCCCGGAAGCGCGCAGCGAGCAGAGGGUGGGUGCAGGGGGCGGUCCCCGAGUCGGCCCAGUGAGGGCUGAACUGCUGCUCCCAGGAACCGAGCGGGGUGGGCUCGGUCCGACGCGCAUCAUGGCCGAGUGCCUAGGCCUGACUCUGAGCGCAGGCCUAGCGUGGAUGGGAUGGGCGCUACACAGCUCCAAGUUACGCGAUUCAAACUCUUGGAAUAAACCCAGGGCAGCCCUGGGGCUGUGUUGAUUCCUUGUCUCCCUCCCUCCCAGCAUUUACAGAAAAGACGCAUUUAUAGGAAAGACGCACGGGCAGGUCCAGCAGAGCCCUUACAAGCAUUUCAGCCUUUUAGAAAUCAGAUAAGACCCUCUAAACAUCGUUACAUGGGCCACAGUUACAUUAAGACAGGCGUUCUGACGUUCUGAAACCGCCUUUGCAAAAAAUUGUAUCGGUGAGAGAAGGAUGGCCUUGAAGGAGAUCUGGCCAACCCCCAUCUUGCCUUUGGCCUUAAAGCUGCCUUUAAUUAUUCCUGGAUAAGCAAAGGUUUCUUGCACAUCUGACACGGAUGGAUCCAGCUAGAUGUCUUGCCAACAGCUCCUGUGGCCCCACCCAGAAGCCAUGCAGCACAAAAGGACCAAAAGGACAGCUAGAUUUCAUCUCGCACCUAACCAAUCAGCACUCCCCAUGCUCUAGCCCCCUGUUCACCAAACUACCUUUAAACAACCCCUAACCUAUGAGCCUUCAAUUGUAACCGAGCAGCUUAGCAGCUGUGAAUCCAAAAUAUCUGAGACAGGA